rnacentral:rRNA from 1 species
UACGUAGGUGGCAAGCGUUGUCCGGAAUUACUGGGCGUAAAGGGCUCGUAGGCGGCCAACUAAGUCCGACGUGAAAUCCCAAGGCUUAACCUUGGAACUGCGUCGGAUACUGGAUGGCUUGAAUUCGGGAGAGGGAUGCAGAAUUCCAGGUGUAGCGGUGAAAUGCGUAGAUAUCUGGAGGAACACCGGUGGCGAAGGCGGCAUCCUGGACCGGCAUUGACGCUGAGGCGCGAAAGCCAGGGGAGCAAACGGG